GUAUGUGGUGUAGUGGUUUGAGUGCUAGACUAGAACUCUGGAGACCACGGUUCAAAUCCUGGCUGAGCCA